GUCGCCACAUUGAAGUCCUUUUUUCCACGACACACCCGGGCAUCCAUCCAGUCAGCUUCACCAGAAGUAGGUCCCCAGACGGUCAGGCUUAUUUCAUAAGGGAUAAAGGUCUGUUCUCAUGCUAUGAGAAAUGAACCACUAACUAGUUAAAUAGAUGAAAGUAGAAGUGAUUGAUGUUUUUUCCAGCUAUUCUAGUACAAUCAUAACCCUCGGCAAGGAAGACUGAAAGUCUAGGUUAUUAAAAAG
rnacentral:misc_RNA from 1 species